rnacentral:tRNA from 1 species
GCGGCGCAUGGCCUGACGGUAGGUCAUGCCAAUACUUUUGGCGGCUUCCAUCUGACCGGGGUCGAUGCUCUCGAUCGCGCCGCGC